GGAUGUAGCUCAGUGGUUGAGUGCUUGUCUAGCAUGCACAAGGCCCUGGGUUGAAUCCUCAGUACCA
rnacentral:tRNA from 1 species